rnacentral:rRNA from 1 species
CAGUAGCCGCGGGAAUACAGAGGGUGCGAGCGUUAAUCGGAUUUACUGGGCGUAAAGCGUGCGUAGGCGGCUUCUUAAGUCGGAUGUGAAAUCCCUGAGCUUAACUUAGGAAUUGCAUUCGAUACUGGGAAGCUAGAGUAUGAGAGAGGAUGGUAGAAUUCCAGGUGUAGCGGUGAAAUGCGUAGAGAUCUGGAGGAAUACCGAUGGCGAAGGCAGCCAUCUGGCCUAAUACUGACGCUGAGGUACGAAAGCAUGGGGAGCAAACAGGAUUAGAUACCCCCGUAGUCCCUGUCUCUUAUAC